GGAAAAAGCUUGGGUUCCAUAUUCUGCAACUAUAUAUCUUCGGGAUGAUGAACGUCAUAAGGAAUGUUUGGAAUCCUAUAACAAGCAUGUGAUUGUUGUCGACUCCAAAGGACGCCACCUGUUGUCAAAUUCUGCAAAUGCGAAGAGGAGCCGACAACACUUAUCCACCUCCGUCUUUGGCCAGCUUCUCCAAAAAAUCCAAAGAUCUGCUUUGAUUUCCAUCUGAUGGAAAUGCUUCGAGUCCUGUAUCUUCAAGUUCCAGUCCCUGUGUUUGAUUUUUGUGAGUCACUGAAGUAUAUACAUCAUCCUUAUGUUGAAAUAAAUGAUCCGUUUUUGCAGGAUAUCUAAUGAAACUUUCGAAGAAUACCGUUUCUUUAUUCAUCAGUUGGAGGUUAUGUCGGCUCCUGAGGAUAUAAAAUGUCCUGCGUGUCCAGUGAUAGUCUGUUUACCCGCUAUCUUGUGCUGUUUUCCGUGACCGAAAAAUUACGAAAUAUUGGAAAACAAUGGACCCCAUCUCUAAUCAAAGUGACAAGUUCCUACGAUUUAUUGUUCGCUGGUGAAAAACCUGUGGGUGAUGACAAGGAUGACGUCUGCCAAGCUGUCCUGAUUGUCGACUUCGACAUUCUGCCUAGUGCUCCUGGGCCAUUCUUAAAAGGAGAACCAAGCAUGCCAAGCCAAUAUUUGGCCUGCCAAAUGCCGAUCUGGAGGAUGGCUGCAAUUGCAUGGUGGAAGGGAAAACUGUUGCAGUAAAGCAGGCUACUGUUAUGGUCGAUUCUUCUGGUUCAGAUAUGUCAGACAUUGAAGAUGAUUUGAGUGAGCUGGUUGUCAGUGACACUGGAAGUCUAAGUGACAAGGAUGAGCAGGAAGAAGAAUUCCGAUCGAUCACAUUUAUGAUAAAGGGAUCAACAUUCACGAAGGAACGUCAGGAGGCAUUAAAAUUUCACCGUGGGAAGGAAGUAGAGACGAAAAUUGAGAAUGAAGUUGACAAUCCUGUGGAUAAAAAUGCACUUGGUAUUAAAAUUCAAAUCCAAGGAGAGUUCCGGCUCAUUGGCUACGUGCCAAAGGACAGGAUACGUGCAGUUUCGAAUGCUAUCGAGAAGGCGGAAAUUCAUUCUAUCAAAAUAACCAAAAUAAUUCGUAGAUAUGUGCCUGCUGCAAAUGACUGUGUUUUUAUAGGAUACUGUGAGAUAGUGAAGAAAGGACCAUGGCCUUCUUCUGAUACCAGUUACAGUUAUGGAGACAAAUUGAACUUGGCAAUGAGCACUGAUGACUAGGAUGAUUUGUAAAUGAUUGAUCAAUGAAGUUAAUUUAACAGUUACAUGACGUCUUAGGGCAGCAUUGGACUAGAAAAAAUGAUUCAAAAGUUUGUGAAGUACCCUAGUUGAUUCUGAUGGCCAAGUCACUCGAGUUUCUCCUUACAA